rnacentral:lncRNA from 13 species
AUUCCAUAUAAAAUAUAUAUACCCAGAUAUCUCUUCGGUAGACAUAAAUCGUUUAGAUCUUUGGUAAAAUAAAAGUUAAAUAAAACAGAAAUUAAAUAAUGAUAUUGUGCAUUCGUAUUUAUGGAAUGUAAAUUAAACUUCGAUUUUAAUAAAAAAAUUGAUUUGUUUAUUCAACUGAAGUUCACAUAUAAUGCUAGUCGACUUUUGUUAAAAAAUUAAUGAUUUUAAUCGACUUUUUUUCCACUUAUAUGAUAAAAGUACUAACGUGGCAGCUUUGAUGAAAUAAUAGUACAUAAAAAAAAAAUCAUUUUUCAAUGUGUGUAAAAGCCUUCGACCCGAUCACUUCAAUCUGCUUUAUCUGUGUGUGAACCAUUUGUAUUACUUAUGUAAUGACUUAUACAAUACAAACUAGUUUGUAUUACAAAGCUUUAAAAGCUUUUAUUUAUAACUUGGUCCUUUUAAGUUAACAUAUCGCCUCUACACGAUUUCAGAAACCGAUUUCGAUAGCCACGUCACAUAUUUGAAGGAAAGAGCCGAAAAUGAUGACUAAGUGAUGUUAUCACAUCGCUAAACGUUACACCGCGUUUACACCACAAUUAUAUAAGCACGGGCCCGACAAAUUCCUUGAGGAAACAUUUCGUUAGGUUACGUGAUCGGGAAGAUGUGUGUCGAACUUUCAUCCGACCUUUGUGUGUCACAUCUUCGGGACAUUCCGAUAUUUGCAAUCACGCCUCAGAAAUUUUAAUGGAAAAAAGCGAGACUGUCAAGAGAGGACCGUUUGAUUACGUUAAGCACAGUGUGCAUUUUGCAAUCCAUCGUUUGCUUCGUAAUUAGCAUCUCCAUCCAAGCGAACAUCACGAGGCCUCGCCGAUCUUUGAUUCUCGCGAACACGGAUCGCCAUAGAAUCACGAAUUGCGACAUCAAACGGUCCUUUCCUAGGCCACUUUCCAAAACGUCCUUUGUUUCGAUAAACAACUGAUUGCACAUUCCAAUUUACGGACGGCCUUCACGAACGUGAUACGUCGCACGUCAUCCGCGUAAAGACCAUAUGAUGGAUUACGACACGAUCGACUUCGAAAGCGAUCGAUGACCGAGUUCGGCAAUAUCGGCUAUUAGACUCGUAUCGGGACUCUAGACAGAAGGUGAGGGACAAGAAGAAAAAACGUAAAGCCGGCUUCAGUGUCCUUUAGCGAGUUGGACGUAAUCUUUUACGAUUUAUGGAGCGCCAUCCCGUCGGGCUUUAUUUUUAUUUACAUCGUAAAUGCAAAUCAAUUUGAUGCCAAAGUCCACGAUGACCUAGAGAAGUUCCAAGCCGAUGAUUGAGUCGUACGCAGAGCUCGUCGGAAAGUUACUGUGAUAUUUCACGGUGCGGCGGCGGCGACGCGACGUGACGAUUACGGUGAAUAAAAACGUCUUAUUUCGUUCACCGAGAUUGUCCUUCACCGACCGCGUCGCUUGUUUUAAUAAGCAAUCUCGCCGCGCGUAGCACGGAAGAUCGUAUAUUAAAUCGAUGUAUGCGGUCUUACGACAUUCUUCAUCAACCGUGACCGUUAAAUCUCACGUGCAAGAAAGAAGAAAGCGGCCGUAACGACGUCGAAUUUAUAGAUGGCAAUUCCUGGCGUUGAUAUAUACCUCGUUAGAAUCGCUCACGUUGGAAAUUCUGGCGAUAAUUUUUUAGCGAAUAUCUGCUCGAGGAAGUGGCCCAGCUGUUCGCCACCAAUUAACACCCGCCCAAAAGGUUACACGGCAAUCUAUCUUAUCGAAAUCGCCACUGAUUACCGAAAUAAACGACGAAAUUUCUCAAUUGCCCUUGGGCGGAGAGCGAAAGAAAGUGAUCGAAAGUGGAGGAAGUUAGAGACGAAACGGAAAAAGAAAGUUGUUGGGGAUCUGUAAGCCGCGUCACGGCCGUAAGAAAGUAUUUGCAUUUGCAUUGCAUUCGGCUACGUGAGGAAAGAAACGGUGGGCAUAAUCGAUUAACUGCUCUCUUCCUGCUCGCUCAUUCGCAUCCAAGGACGGACGAUCAAAAUCAAAAAAUUACCAAAUACGCGAUUACCUGAGGAUGCCCGUUAAAGGUGUCGAGGAUGUUGUGAAUUAUGAGCAUCAGAAACUUACGGCGCGAAAUUAACUCCUAUCGCGUGCUAAGCCCCUGCUUACGUUUGACAAAUCGCCACGGGCCAUGCUGAAGGUCUAAAUGGAGAUUAACGAAGAUAAACGGCCGGUUGUAUGUCAGCACGCGGUAGAAAAAAAAUGUGCGAUAGGUAUUUAGUCUACGAUAGAUGCCAUUAACUGAAAUUAAUUAAAUUAUAAGUGCCUACGAGGAGAGAUAUAUCGCGUGAUCGAAGCGUCUCUGCGAAUGAUAAAUUAGUAAUAUAAAUUUCGAAUUUUUGUGAUUGAUCAGUAAAGAUUAUUAUUCGAUUUAAUUUAGUUUCAAAGUAGACGAAAAACCAUGGGAAUGUGUUCUUGCGCGUACGUUAAAUUGUUUAUUCGGGCACGCAUCGUCGUAAAUAAUCUGUCGAGAGACGUGCGCGUAAACUUUAUUUACGAGCCAAUUAAUCUGUUGCGCAUACAUUACGCGUAAUAUUAGAACAUGAUACAACUCCGCUUUGUUGCCGGAUCAUUAUAGGAAGUCGUGUAAUCCUUACGUCGUCUAUCCUGCACCGUCACAACGGUAAAAUUACUAUGACGGACAUUCGCUACGAGAAAAUGAAUUAUGGCAAGAGGAACAGAAUUGCGGUGAAAACUCUCGAGUCCAUAUGCCGUAUGGUUUGCGCGCAUCUCACGCGCAAAUACGCACUGUCCGCUUCAGGAAAUAAUUUUCUUCCUACUCUUUGAACGCUUGUCGAACGCUUGUAAACUUAGAGCACGUGUCUGUGUAACACGACGACUUUCAUCUUCCCGUAACAAUCGCUUAUGUUAAACAUUUAAUCACGUCUUUCGAGAGAAUUAGUGUGUCUUCUCAGGUUAUACUAUCUCUCUCAUAUCGUGCACACAAAAUUUCUAUAAUCAAAUAGUAAAAAAAAAAAAA